GCAAAAAUAAUGAUGUAGUUGUAAUUUAUGUUAUGAGGUUGAACAUAUUUUAAUUAUAAACGCAGCCGCUCGUUAUAAAGGAUCCCUCACCCCCUCCAAAGCUACUUCAAUUCACCCCGCUGUCAAUCACACUGAAGAGGACAGUCCACGCUACCUUACCUAGCGAUAAUUAAGUGUUUUGGGACUUUGUGCAGCAUUUAUAAAAGAUCGGGCGACUAAUUCUCACACUCACACCGUUCAAAUGGAAAUACAGGAUAUUCCUUUAUCAGGGGAAGGUAACACGUGCGCAUGUGUGACAUUAAUGGAGUUUUGGCGCUGUAACAGGUGACGAACACGAAAGAACAAUUAAAUCGUCCAUCACAGAGCAACAGAUGGAGCAGCACAACAGGAUAUUCCCGAUAAGAGGAUUCGUCCUCCUUUGCCCGUCACUGUGGACAUUUUUAUUUUUGUGAGAACAGACUCUUUCAUCGUGACCCAGCUCCUCUGGCUUACUGGAACGGGUGUGGAGUCAUCUGUUAAGCCCUCUGAAACCCGUCACUGUACUUGUGUUGACCUGCUUGGCAAACAGAAAUCCUCGAUCGAGCCCGCCGUGAGUUACAGUAAAAGAAGUAACAACCAGGUGGGAUCAGAAAAUCUUUCUUGUGUCUUGAGUCUCUGAAAGUGCGACCUUUUGCUCAGAACUCGCAGGGUAUGUGCCAGCUCUGCUUGUGGUGAGGUGUCAAGUUCACUCACCUGUCAAGUAACACGGUUACACAAGAGGCAGUGUGUACACUUCAACAUGGCAGUUCAUGUGUGUUAUAAAACAAGAAGAUCCCUCAGCAACAUCUGAAACUUUACAAAUCAAGAAAUCUGAUUGGUGCUGUAAGCCUAAUUAGCAUCACAUCAUAACAAAUAAAACAGAGGGACUA